AGCAGCAGCGGUAAUACGGAGGCGCCAAGCGUUAUCCGGGAUUAUUGGGCGUAAAGCGUCUGUCGGCGGUAAUGUAAGUCUGGUGUGAAAUUUCAAUGCUUAACAUUGAAUGCGUACCGGAAACUAUAUUACUAGAGUCUAAGAGAGGCCACUGGAAUUUCUGUUGUAGGGGUAAAAUCCGUAGAUAACAGAAGGAACACCAAAAGCGAAAGCAGGUGGCUGGCUUAGUACUGACGCUCAGAGACGAAAGCGUGGGUAGCGAACGGGAUUAGAUACCCCGGUAGUCCACGCCGUAAACUAUGAGUGCUAGGUGUUGGAGGGAUUCGACCCCCUUCAGUGUCUACAGCUAACGCGUUAAGCACUCCGCCUGGGGAGUACGGUCGCAAGACUAAAACUCAAAGGAAUAGACGGGGACCCGCACAAGCGGUGGAUCAUGUGGUUUAAUUCGACGAUAAGCGGGAAACCUCACCUAGACUUGACAUCUCGAGAAGGUUCUAGAAAUAGAACUGUGCCUUUUGGAACUCGAUGACAGGUGCUGCAUGGUUGUCGUCAGCUCGUGCCCUGAGGUGUUCGGUUAAGUCCGUAAACGAGCGCAACCCUUGUAAUAUGUUGUAUUUUUCAUAUUAGACUGCCGGCUCCAAGCCGGAGGAAGGUAGGGAUGACGUCAAAUCAGCAUGGCCCUUAUGUCUAGGGCUACACACGUGAUACAAUGGAUCGUACAAUGGGUAGCCAAGGAGUAAUCUGGAGCCAAUCCCAAAAACGAUCCUCAGUUCGGAUUGAGGUCUGCAACUCGACCUCAUGAAGU
rnacentral:rRNA from 1 species